rnacentral:rRNA from 1 species
UACGUAGGGGGCUAGCGUUGUCCGGAAUCAUUGGGCGUAAAGAGCGUGUAGGCGGCCCGGUAAGUCCGCUGUAAAAGUCAAGGGCUCAACCUUUGAAUGUCAGUGGAUACUGCCGGGCUAGAGUCCGGAAGAGGCGAGUGGAACUCCUGGUGUAGCGGUGGAAUGCGCAGAUAUCAGGAAGAACACCAACGGCGAAGGCAGCUCGCUGGGAAGAUACUGACGCUGAGGUGCGAAAGCGUGGGGAGCAAACAGG